rnacentral:lncRNA from 1 species
GCCGGACAGGAGAACGAGACAGACGCCGGACAGGAGAACGACGCCUGACAGGAGAACGAGAACGACGCCGAACAGGAGAACGAGAACGUCGUCGGACAGGAGAACGAGAACGACGCCGGACAGGUGAACGAGAACGACGCCGGACAGGUGAACGAGAACGAUGUCGUAAAGGAGAACGAGAACGACGCCGAAUAGGAGAACGAGAACGACGUCGAAUAGGAGAACGUGAUCUGUAGCGCACUGGUGACCUGCGUCGCAAAGGAGAUCGUGAUCUGCGCCGCACAGGAGAUCGUGAUCUGCGCCGCUGACGUCCUAUAGGU